rnacentral:rRNA from 1 species
UACGUAGGGUGCGAGCGUUGUCCGGAAUUAUUGGGCGUAAAGAGCUUGUAGGCGGUCUGUCGCGUCUGCUGUGAAAAUCCGGGGCUCAACCCCGGACUUGCAGUGGAUACGGGCAGACUAGAGUGUGGUAGGGGAGACUGGAAUUCCUGGUGUAGCGGUGAAAUGCGCAGAUAUCAGGAGGAACACCGAUGGCGAAGGCAGGUCUCUGGGCCACUACUGACGCUGAGAAGCGAAAGCAUGGGGAGCGAACAGG